UGACCGUUAGCCAAGUUGGUAAAGGCACAGGACUUUGACUCCUGCAUCCGGUGGUUCAAAUCCACCACGGUCAGCCA
rnacentral:tRNA from 1 species